AGUGAACGCUGGCGGUAGGCCUAACACAUGCAAGUCGAACGGCAGCACAGUAAGAGCUUGCUCUUACGGGUGGCGAGUGGCGGACGGGUGAGGAAUACAUCGGAAUCUACUUUUUCGUGGGGGAUAACGUAGGGAAACUUACGCUAAUACCGCAUACGACCUACGGGUGAAAGCAGGGGAUCUUCGGACCUUGCGCGACUGAAUGAGCCGAUGUCGGAUUAGCUAGUUGGGGGGGUAAAGGCCCACCAAGGCGACGAUCCGUAGCUGGUCUGAGAGGAUGAUCAGCCACACUGGAACUGAGACACGGUCCAGACUCCUACGGGAGGCAGCAGUGGGGAAUAUUGGACAAUGGGCGCAAGCCUGAUCCAGCCAUACCGCGUGGGUGAAGAAGGCCUUCGGGUUGUAAAGCCCUUUUGUUGGGAAAGAAAAGCAGCAGGUUAAUACCCCGCUGUUCUGACGGUACCCAAAGAAUAAGCACCGGCUAACUUCGUG
rnacentral:rRNA from 1 species